rnacentral:rRNA from 1 species
GAUGAACGCUGGCGGCGUGCCUAAUACAUGCGAGUCGAGCGAACGGACGAGAAGCUUGCUUCUCUGAUGUUAGCGGCGGACGGGAGAGUAACACGUGGAUAACCUACCUAUAAGACUGGGAUAACUUCGGGAAACCGUAGCUAAUACCGGAUAAUAUUUUGAACCGCAUGGUUCAAAAGUGAAAGACGGUCUUGCUGUCACUUAUAGAUGGAUCCGCGCUGCAUUAGCUAGUUGGUAAGGUAACGGCUUACCAAGGCAACGAUGCAUAGCCGACCUGAGAGGGUGAUCGGCCACACUGGAACUGAGACACGGUCCAGACUCCUACGGGAGGCAGCAGUAGGGAAUCUUCCGCAAUGGGCGAAAGCCUGACGGAGCAACGCCGCGUGAGUGAUGAAGGUCUUCGGAUCGUAAAACUCUGUUAUUAGGGAAGAACAUAUGUGUAAGUAACUGUGCACAUCUUGACGGUACCUAAUCAGAAAGCCACGGCUAACUACGUG